GAUUGUGGGAAAGAUUUCAUCGGCGUGGGAUGGGGUCGCGUCCUAUCAGCUUGUUGGUGAGGUAACGGCUCACCAAGGCUUCGACGGGUAGCCGGCCUGAGAGGGCGACCGGCCACAUUGGGACUGAGAUACGGCCCAGACUCCUACGGGAGGCAGCAGUGGGGAAUAUUGCACAAUGGGCGCAAGCCUGAUGCAGCGACGCCGCGUGAGGGAUGGAGGCCUUCGGGUUGUAAACCUCUUUUGUUUGGGAGCAAGCCUUCGGGUGAGUGUACCUUUCGAAUAAGCGCCGGCUAACUACGUGCCAGCAGCCGCGGUAAUACGUAGGGCGCAAGCGUUAUCCGGAUUUAUUGGGCGUAAAGGGCUCGUAGGCGGCUCGUCGCGUCCGGUGUGAAAGUCCAUCGCUUAACGGUGGAUCUGCGCCGGGUACGGGCGGGCUGGAGUGCGGUAGGGGAGACUGGAAUUCCCGGUGUAACGGUGGAAUGUGUAGAUAUCGGGAAGAACACCGAUGGCGAAGGCAGGUCUCUGGGCCGUCACUGACGCUGAGGAGCGAAAGCGUGGGGAGCGAACAGGAUUAGAUACCCUGGUAGUCCACGCCGUAAACGGUGGACGCUGGAUGUGGGGCACGUUCCACGUGUUCCGUGUCGGAGCUAACGCGUUAAGCGUCCCGCCUGGGGAGUACGGCCGCAAGGCUAAACUCAAAGAAAUUGACGGGGGCCCGCA
rnacentral:rRNA from 1 species